GACGAACGCUGGCGGCGUGCCUAAUACAUGCAAGUCGAACGAAGCUGUUUUAACUGGUGCUUGCACCGACUUAAACAACUGAGUGGCGAACGGGUGAGUAACACGUGGGUAACCUGCUCUAAAGCGGGGAUAACAUUUAGAAACAGAUGCUAAUACCGCAUAACCACAGAAACCACAUGGUUUCUGUGUCAAAGCUGGUUUCGGCUAUCACUUUGGGAUGGACCAGCGGCGUAUUAGCUAGUUGGUAAGGUAAUGGCUUACCAAGGCAAUGAUACGUAGCGGAACUGAGAGGUUGAUCGGCCACAUUGGGACUGAGACACGGCCCAAACUCCUACGGGAGGCAGCAGUAGGGAAUCUUCCACAAUGGACGAAAGUCUGAUGGAGCAACGCCGCGUGAGUGAAGAAGGUUUUCUGAUCGUAAAACUCUGUUGUCAGAGAAGAACGUGUGCGAGAGUAACUGUUCGUGCAGUGACGGUAUCUGGCAAGAAAGCCACGGCUAACUACGUGCCAGCCGCCGCGGUAA
rnacentral:rRNA from 1 species